rnacentral:rRNA from 1 species
UACAGAGGGUGCUAGCGUUGUUCGGAAUUAUUGGGCGUAAAGGGCGCGUAGGCGGUGCGGUAAGUCACCUGUGAAAUCUCCUGGCUCAACUGGGAGCUUGCAGGCGAAACUGCCGUGCUGGAGUGUGGGAGAGGUGCGUGGAAUUCCUGGUGUAGCGGUGAAAUGCGUGGAUAUCAGGAGGAACACCUGUGGCGAAAGCGGCGCACUGGACCACAACUGACGCUGAGGCGCGAAAGCUAGGGGAGCAAACAGG